GGCAGUUCUCGGGUAAUGCGCCCUGGAAUCGGGCUCCCUCCUCUCUGGUUCUGGGUGUGUCACCUGAGAAUCACU
rfam:Myotis brandtii contig217384, whole genome shotgun sequence.